GCCAGGUGUGGUGGCGGGCACCUGUAAUCCCAGCUACUUGGGAGGCUGAGGCAGGAGAAUCGCUUGAACCCGGGAGGCAGAGGUUGCAGUGAGCCGAGAUUGCACUAUUGCACUCCAGCCUGGGUGACAGAGUGAGAUUCUGUCUCAA
rnacentral:sRNA from 1 species